rnacentral:lncRNA from 13 species
GGCAACAUCUCAGGAAGUGAUUUAACCCACUUGCAUAGCCAGACGUAAUUUGUCAUGUGGCUCUGUGAUUUUUAACCCUACUCAUUUCUCCCUUAUGAUUACUUUUAACAUGUUCGUGGGUUAAUUAUGACACUUCUUUAUUUCAGAGACCUUGAAAUCCUACUUGAUGUUUCUGACGUAGAACCUAGACUUCUUGAUUCCUGAACUUAUCUGCUCUCUUCAGGAAUAGAUCCGGGAGGCCAGAAAACUAACCACCUACCUCUCAUCUUCCUACUCAAGCAGUUGGACCUGGACUGCGUUUAACCAGUCUUCAGACACAGUUGCCACAUCAUUUCCUUUCAGCUGCUGCAGGCUACUUAGACAGGGUUUCAUCAUGCUGGCUUCCAAAAUGGUCUCCAACUCCUGACCUUAAGUGAUCCGCCCAUCUCAGCCUCCCAAAGUGCUGAGAUUACAGUCAUGAGCCACAGCGCCCGGCGGUCAAUGACUUUCAAUUGGUUCUAAAGUUUCCUGCUGCCCUGAGUGAUUCUUUCAUCUUAUAG